rnacentral:lncRNA from 1 species
GUUGACAAGAUCCAGCUGGCCCUUUCCACUUCUUGGACUCAAAUUCAACAUAUGAAAAUUUGACCUGCUUUCUUCCACUGGACGUGAUUCAACUGCUGCACGACACUGACAGGUAUAAACUUAAAGGGAUAUCAAGAACUAGAGGAAUAAAUUCACAAAUAAUAACAGACCUUUAUGCAUAAGGGUCUCUGGAAACAAUGAUUGUUGAUACUCCAUUGGUUUGACAAUUUGAUACUCAAAAGAUUGUUGAGCUGAAGUUCCAAACUUUUUGCUUUGCUGGGAUGGAUGCCCAAGUCUCAACUCAAUACUUGAGGAGAUACUACUCCCAUCCAUUUGCAUUAGCGAACUGUUGAUACCAAGAGGUUUUGAAAUUUUGAGAUCUGGAAGAGAGUUAAAGGUAUUUGUGUCCUUAGAGUUUGAACCAAUAUAAGCUGAAAUGAAUGAAGAACCAUUCUGUGGGUCUCGUAUCCCAUCUAAGUUUGACAAUGUCGGACGCUGAGGGUUCUUUGAAAUAAACAUAUUGUUCCAUGACUGUCCAGCUCCACUUGAAGCUCCUAAUGCAUGAGACUGCUCAGCAUUUGGAGAUAAAUUGGGAAGGGAUGGAUAAAACUCUCUCAAACCAGUACUCACUGGAAAUACUUCAGGCCAGUCCCAUCCACCAUGAUCAUCAGGAGCCCUAAUCUAAAUUAUGAUAGAAAGAUCACCAUUCAUGGCUCUUGUGCUUCCAAUGGAUGCCAUUAACAAGUACUUUAAAUCAAUAGACAUAAUAAAAUAGAAAAGCUAGGUUCUUAACGUCUGCUGUAAAUAAACUAAACAGAACAAAGUAAAACAAUGUAGUGCAUGCAACUCUAGACAUAGUGGUCUAGCUUGCAUCUGUGACGAACAUAUAUGCUAAAACUAUAAUGCUAUAUAAGCUUUCAGAAGUAGGUGCACCAUAGUCAGACCUUCAUAGCAGGCAGAGAACAAUUUAUCAGGAUCUGAAAUCCAGUAGUUCAUAAAAAGAUAUUCUUGUAGCUUUUUUCAUCAAAAUAUAUAGAUAGCUACUAACAUAUAAUUUAAGUGGACAACAUAUAAUCAAACAAAGAAAUAAGUGGAAGUUUUUCUAAGUUGACUGUACCAAGGUUACCAUAUAGAGUGAUUCUAAUGAAUUGCAAAUUGACCUUCUACCUUCCCGGAGAUGAUAAGAAAGCAAUUUGGAACGUUAAAUUUAGUGAUCCAAAGUAUUAUCCUUCUCUUUCACAACUUCGCAGCAACUUUCUGUUUCCAAAUUCUCCUUCAAUCAAUCAAUUAUGUUCAAUGCCAAUUAGCUCCUAAAUCUCCUUAGAAAAGUUUCUAUCAAGGUUUCUAAAGCAAAUGAAGAUAUAAUCAAAAGAUGACAACCCGAGCAGACUAUGUUUCCCAUUAAAUAGUGAACGCAAAAUCCUGACCAUUCCAUGAACCACAAAAUUGAUCUACAUGUCAGGUAACAUUGAAAGGGACCCCCUCCCACAGUUAUUAUCAUGAACAUAACCUAAAUUGAUUACACAAAUACAAAGACAUUUCAAAGAAUGUAGCUACCAAAAUUAAAUAAUAGCACGGAUUUCGAGGCAUAGAAGAAAUAGAUGUUAGAUACCUCACAUAUUCCUUACCCCUAGUUCUUGGAAGAAGACCUUCCGCCAAUGAGCUAUGGUUACACCACUGUCCAUACGAACAGCAUUCCCAGGAUUAACAUCAGAUAAACCAGAAUGCUGCACAAAAGAUAGAACUUCAAACAGUUAUAAAAAAAAGUCUUCAAGUAAUAGACAAAAGAAAGAUAUGGAAAUAUCAAGUACUCCAACAGAAGUGCAUUUUCAUCCAAAGACUGCUGAAUCCAAAAAAAGAGAUUUCAGAAUAACUACCUCACAGAACCUAGAAAUAGACAUAUGUGAACCAUGGCACAAGCAAAUAACUCCAAGAAGACCAGUAUCCCUGAGAACCAGGUAUCCACCUGCAUUCAAGACCAAAAUACUAAUUAGAACAUAUGAAGAUAGUAUUGAUGAAAAGUCAAACUAACUAGUGGGUUACUCACUUAAGCCCAAGCAGAACACACGGGGAUAGCUGCUCAGCGCUGGAGACAACUGCCCAGAAGAUCCUGUUUCCAGAAAAACCUUUCUAGAUGUCAGAAUACCAGGUAUGUCAUUGAACUUCAUGGCACUAUUUGGGAUUGAUUCUGCAUCGGAAGUCCCUCUUGGAAAAGAAAAAUGCUUUAGUUUCUCAUUACCAACAUAAUGGGAUGGAGCAGUUGGCUUAGCCAUUUCAUGUCUUGGAUGGUUUAUUACAGCAGUUGGUUUAAGAGUAUCUCCAGCUUUUAACUUGUGGCUGCUAAAAUAUUGUGACAAUUCCACAGCAGGUACAAGCACUGGUCCAUUGGUAGAAGCAGAUCCAUUGGCAUUGUUACGAUUUAUUGGCUUUUCAUUCAGCAUGAAGACUGAUUUUAAAUUUGAUGAUUGCUGAAACUCCCCUUGUAAAGAGGGCAGCGGACCAGAAAGAAAAGAUAUGAAUGAACCACUGAACUCAGUGGGAUUAGAGUUAUCCACAACUGAAUUUGAAUUCCAUGGAAGAGUAGACUGCUGUACUAUUCCAUUUCCCAGUGACACUGAAUCUUGAGGAAUGCUUGAGUAAAAAUGUUGACCUGCAUUAGGAAACUACAGUAGGGGGUAGGCAGUGAGAAGGACAAACUAAAUAUAGAAAAAUGAGAACAAUCUACAAGAUCCAGUAUAACAAAAAAAAAAAUUAUGGUAAUAUUUGUCCAGUAUAACAAAGAUAGAAGCCACUUGGAAAGGGAAAACCUCAAACAACAAGGAAAAACAAUGUUUGAUAGGCAUGUAUAUUUUGUGCACCUAUAGCUGAUGGAAAAACUUUGCUACAAAACAGUGGCUCAAACGACAUCUAAUUACAGCACCCAGAAAGAAACCCUUUAGUGACAUCAACUAUCUGAGCAUCAUUCAUAGCAUAGUUUGCUUUCAUUGAUCAACAAACCAAAAUAAGUCUCUGAAGAAUUUCAUCUAAUUCAUCUACAUUACACAAAUAUAUUCCCAAUGCUUUCUGUAGUUUUCGGAACACUCAUUUUCCAUAGAAAACUUUUCUCAGUCCAUUUUUUCCACUUAGAAAAGCCACUUCAUUAUGAUGCAAAAGAGGUGCCAGCAAUUUAACUAUGUAAGAAUCGGUGACCCAAACUACAAACCUAGUGUCUAAUCAUAAACAUGAAGAUACUAAAUGAAAUACAAUUUACAACCUCCACUCAGCUUGAACUCAUCCAAAAACACUCUUCCUUUGAUGCAAUAGCAAUACAAUUCUUUCCAUUUUCUAUUUCAAUAAAAUGAAAACGUAAUAUGUGGCACGCACUUGUUUCCUAUUAACUCUAAAAGAUGUAGAUAUCUCUCAAUGCUCAUGUCAAAUCUAGACAAAAAUGCUGGAUUUGUUACAAGGUCUUUUUUCUAAACUCAUCAUGUAAUUCAAGGAGUAAAAACGAGGGCUUUUUUACUUUUGGUAAUUAAAGGAAGGCUUUCUUCAUAUCUUCCAAAGAUUUGCACCAUAAAAUCUAAUUUGCUCAAUCUGGACUACACCCCCUAUGUACUCUACUCGUCUAGUUACAUGCAUUUUUCAGGAAAUGGUAAGAUUCAUAAACAAUAAAUACAAAUUACAAAAAGCUAAUUAACCCAUCACAUUCACCACAUUUUCCUCCAAAGGUACACGCAUUUCACAGAAUAAGCUAAAAUUAACAUGCAAGCAAGAAAAACGCAAAGAAAUUAUUAUUAAAUUAUAAUUAUCAACCAAAAAAAUAAAAAAGAAAAACCUGAGAAUGGGAAUCCGGGAGUGAUGAAGAAACAAGUGGUGGAGACGUUGACUGCCACAUUGACCCACAUUUCCUCUGCCAACAAUUAUCCAUCUCUUUAACCCUUUAAAACCCUAUCCUUUCUCCAUCAAAAACUUCUCAUAAAAAAAUAGUUCAACAAAUAAAACCCAUGUUCUAAUCAAAACCAAAUCCAAAUAAAAAACCACACUUCUCAUGAACUAAAAAAAAAUCAAAUUCAACCCAGUAAAUCAGUAGAAAAUAUUAAAAAUUCACAACGCAGAAUUAGUAGUAUUAUCUGUGUAUAAAGAAGGGGCACAAAUGAUGGGGGAAAUUCAAGAAGAGGAGGGUAGUGACAAUAGCAUUAAGCACUGAUAAUGCGAUUGGGAAAUGGAUUGGGCGAAUAUGGGCCGUUGGAUUGAGGCUUUAGUGGGCCCUGAACCGUUGAUUGGGUUUCCAGCUGUUGGAAAAAAAAAGUGAACGAGGAGUCAAGUGACUGAACCCUUGUAAGGUAACAGUUGGCGGGAAAAAGUGUUAGGGGGAUGGGACCUACUUGGUUCAGUUGGGUCACGUGACGUAUUCAUUAUUAUUAUUAUUAUUAUUGGGAGAAGACUGAAACUGAUGAGUCAGCACCUGCCAUGGCUUGAAUGGGCCCCUGUUUGUGUCUUCAAUUGGGCCCUACCAAAACUUUGUGUACCAGGCCAUCAGGUGUUGAUAAUGGUCCAAUACUUGGUCAGUAGAGCUUAUCUUUUCUGAAACUGUACUGUAGCUAGAGUUCCUUUGUUUUUAAAUUAUAAAGAAUUAAAAAAUAAUAGUAGUUUCCAGCUAGCUAAUGCGCACUUUAGUUAUUUUAUGGAAUAUUUGUGACUUUCUAUUUGCAUACGUAUCGGGUAAUCAUAUCCAUCAAAAAUUAGACAAAUAUAAGGGUGUGUUUGUGGGCUCGAGGGUCACUUCAAGAGCGAAAUCGAAAUAGACCAAGAACGAGCCCGAUGGGAGGCUUCAAAGAUCAAAAUGUCCGAUGACCAUCGAGGUCGAACGUGACCGGCCUCAAGAUAAUGUUGUUACAAGUCUGUUACAGAAGGACAAGAUUCCCGCCACGUCCCCAAGAUCGUGGCGGGAAUCCCGAAAUUUAUUCGUACGACCUAGUACGAAUUCAUACUAGGCGAUUAGACAGCUGUCACAGUUAGAUUCCUUACUGUAAAUAGAAAUGUACCUUAUUUAGGGUUUCCCUAUUAUAUAAAAGAAACUUCAAUCAUCCGUAAACAUCACCUAAACAUUGGCAAAGAAUAUACUAUCCCGCUUUUCUCUCUUACUGUUCAUCAGAAUUGUCCUUUUAUCUUUAUUGCUCACUUUACUAUUCUUGGUUCAUCUCGAGGUCGCUACUGCCUACUAACUUAUCUACUGGUUUGAUCUUGCCUAUUUUCCUUCAUUUAUACUUCAUGUUUCUUGAUUAUUAAUUGGCAUUGAACUAAAUCACAUCUUUAAAACCGCAAAUCAAAUUUAAUUGUUACUCGCAUUUUCGAGGUAAACAGUUUGGUACAAAGAAAAAUGUUUUUCAUGGAAAAUAUUUUGUUAAAAUUAGUGAUUUUAUCACUCAUUUUUCCUUGUUUGGUUGGUGAGUGGAAAACUUUUUUUCGAAAAAUAUUUUAUAGUAUUUGAUUAGAGAGUAUAAAAUAUUUUUGGGAAAAUAAUUUUUUGUGCUACUCUCCUCAACCCGCCUUCCCCAAAAUCCACAUGUUUCUUGUACUCCCCCCCCCCCCCACAGACUCUAUUUUCUUUAAGAAUUUAAUUAUUCUUUUUAAAAUUCACACAAAAUCAAAGGAACUAAUGUGCUACUUUACUUUUUCACACAAGAACAAAGUUAAAUUUGAGCUUGAUAACUAAAAAGAAAAUACCUUAUUUUGCUGAAAAAGAAAGUAUCUUUUCUAUAACAUGAAAGGAAAUUACUCAUUUUGUUGAGUGAAAGAAAAUACUCUUUUUGUUGAAACAAAAGAAAAUACUUUUUCUAUAUCAUAAAAAGUACUAUUUUUUUGUUAAAAUGAAAAAAAAUACUUUUUAUAUCAUGUAAAGGAAAUACUCAUUUGUUGAAAUGAUAAAAAAAAUCUAUCUAUGACAUAAAAAAGCAAGUACAAUUAAUAAUUUUUUUAUUUAGGGUGGAGUGAGGUGCAGAGUAGGUAGGUGGGGGUUGGUAAGGAUGAGGAAUAUGGUGGAAAAGGUUGAAAAAGUAUUUUGGAAAAUGUUUUUCCUUCUUUUGAUAAGGAAAAUAUUUCUCCAAUUGAAGAAAAAUGAGUUGAUGAAAAAAAUAUUUUCCAAAACAUUUAAGCCAACCAAACAUGAAAAAAUAUAAAAAUAUCUUCCUUCAUACCAAACACACCCUAAAAGCAAUAUGUACAAUUAAAGUUCUUUUCAUACCGAUAGUCACAUCGGUAGAAUUGAAACAAAUUGAGUACCAAAGGUUAUGGCCUCGUAACCAAUGAAAUUGACGUAAAACCACGAGGUCUCAUGUUCAAAUUCAAAGGGGGGGGGGGGUAAAAAAUACUAGGUGCUUUUCCCCCCUUCUUAUACUUUGAUGGACAGAAUUAUCCAGUAUUUUGUGCUGAUGGAAAGUAGUAGAUACUAACAGAAUAGCCAAGUGCGCCCAAACUGGCUCGGACGCCAUGUUAAUGAGUCGAUUGUACUUCUAUACGUGAAUUAAGUUAAGUCUUUUUCUUUUGUUCCUUUUUUUUGUGGGGGGGGGGGGGUAAGAGAGAGAGAGAGAGCGCAACCAAUUACAUUAUUUGCUAAAUUUACUAACCAAAAUAAAUUACAUAAGGCGCAGUUAUCGCUUUCGAAGUUCAUCCCGUCUUGCAGUUAUUUAAUUGGUUUCGUUCAGCUCACACUUAGGGGUGUGCAUUUGGAUCGGGUAUCCGAAAUCCGAAUUGAUCUGCUCAAUUUCGGAUUUCGGAUAUUUGGAUCGGAUUCGGAUUUGAUUUAUUAAAAUUUUGAAUUUUUGGAUUGGAUUUGGAUUUGUAUUGUUUGAACCCGAUCCGAUCCGAAAUCCGAAUUUAUUAGGGAAAGUGUAAAUACUAAUUUUAUUUUUAGGGUUAGAACUUAUUUCAUUCUCGUUCUUUUCUCACAGUCAUAUCUCAGAGACUCAGACUUUGACUCUCAGAGAGACAGAGACUACUGUUUCACGCCACAAGCUGCUCCUGCUCGUCGCUUCCUCUGUCUCUUCUUUGUGUUCCGGCGACCAACGACCGCACUGGUAAGACACUACGACUCACUCCUUCUCUCUCUCUCUUUCUCCUCCUUUCUUAGAGCUUAAAGGAAGUGUUUGUUCUCUUUUAUUUCUUGGAUAAAAUUGAUGAAAUAAAUUGAGGGUUUCACUCUUGAUUUUCUUAAACAAAAAUAUACUAUACUAUAAUGGGGCACACAUCAUUUCCUUCGUGAUGUACCCAGGCCAACGCUAGUUGAGNNNNNNNNNNNNNNNNNNNNNNNNNAUAUAUAUAUAUAUAUAUAUAUAUAUAUAUAUAUAUAUAUAUCAAAUUCAAUAUGUAGUUAGUUUCUUUUGAAAUAGAAACUAACUAGAAAGAAAGAAUUGGCUUUGAUUGGUCAAGGCAGAACUUAGCGAUUCUAGCUAACACUAGAUUUAAAGCUCAAAUUUCUGCGUUCUUAAUAUAUAAAUCUUCUGCAGAAGUUAAAAAAAAAAAAACAACUCGGUACGCUCCUGUAGCUAUACUACUAUUUUGAAUCUGAUUUUACUUUUAAUUUUUUGUUUUGUUUCGUAGAUGGAAGAUGAGGUAGAGAUGGUGAAUGAAGUUCAAGCUCUUGUAAAAUGUGGUGAAAGUGGUGCUUAAGCCUUCAGUUCCUACAGUUAUUAUAGGCGUAAGCCUUCUAAUAAACUGAACCAAGUUGUUGCAUUAGGCUUAAGCCUUCUAAUAAACUGAACCAAGCUGCUGCAUUAAGCCUUCUCUAUUGUAUUGUCUUGUUCUGCCACCAAGCAGUCAAGCUGCUGCAUUAGGCUAUGUUCUGAUGAACAUUGAAAACAGCUUGUAUAGGCUGCAUAUAGGUUGCUGCAUAUAGGUUGUCCAGCUUAACAUGAUACACAUUUACUGAUUCUCUCAUUUUUGACAAGUGCAGUGUUACAGAACUUGAAAGCGUGCCAGGAAUCAGGACGGAAUGCGAUGGCCAUAGAAGUUGGAACUUGGAACUCUUUUGUGUAAUCUAUUAAGGAAUUCUGGUUGAGGAUUUCAGUUCAUUAGUGAUUAGACAUCUAUUUGGGAUUUUAGUUAAUUUUGUUUUGUUAUGAAGAAUGAAGAUUGUGUUUUGUUUAUGGACGCCUGUGAAUUUCUUUGAAAGACGCCUAUGAUGAACUGGUGCUUACCACAUGCAACUGAAUUUUCUCAAAUAUUUGCAUGCUUUGUUUGUCUUUCUCACUAUAGUCUUUGGAUUUGCAUUUUAUAAGCUAAUCUAAUCUUAUAAUCCAGUCAUGUACAUGCCAUUUCUUUCAUUUUCUUGUUGGAGAAUUUUUU